GGGAGUGUAGCUCAGUGGUAGAGCUCUUGCCUAGCAUGUACAAGGCCUGGGCCCAGCACUGCCA
rnacentral:tRNA from 1 species